ensembl:lncRNA
CUACCUCAUCUGGAACUACAGCAACACAAUUCUACAAGGCGUGUGCAUCUUCCUCUCUGUGUCCAGCUACGGGCAAUCAGACAUUUUCAGUUAACCUGGGUGUUCAAAGUGUUCUUGCCUCUGCCACGUGCUGCAACACGGAUAACUGCAACUCACAAAAUCUGACUGCUCCUACUCCUCAGUCAAGUAACGGCCUACUAUGUAACGUUUGUGUCGCCUCUCAGUGCAACACUACAUUACAGUGUCAGGGAGUGGAGGACCAAUGCUUUCAAUCAAUGAUGACGAACGGCACCAACAGUUUCCCAGCUUACGGCUGUGCAUCUGCAAACCUGUGUGCAGCUGCUUCAAGCCUGGGUUCUCUACCUUUCAUGCAGAUGGUUGGUACCAUAACAAGUGGACCAAACUGUACUUCAUGCACAACCACUGCUGCACCAACCACAACAACAGCUGCUCCAACCACAACAAAAGCUGCUUCAACCACAACUACUGCUGCACCAACAACAACUACUCCAACUACGACCAUUGCUGCCCCAACCACUACAACAACUGCUAAAACCGCUACAACAGCUGCUCUAACCACAACAACUGCUGCACCAACCACAACAAUAGUCGUAGAUACCAGAACAACUUCUGCACCAACCACAACAAAAGCUGCUUCAACCACAACUACUGCUGCACCAACAACAACUACUCCAACUACGACCAUUGCUGCCCCAACCACUACAACAACUGCUAAAACCACUACAACAGCUGCUCUAACCACAACAACUGCUGCACCAACCACAAUAAUAGUCGUAGAUACCAGAACAACUUCUGCACCAACAUCGACAACAGCUGGAGCACUUCAGUGCCAAAACUGCACAGAUGAGACGUGUUCAAGCACAGUAACAGUGAACUGUUCUUCAGAGACCAUGUGUGUUACAGCUACUAUUUUAGCUACCUCAUCUGGAACUACAGCAACACAAAUCUACAAGGCGUGUGCAUCUUCCUCUCUGUGUCCAGCUACGGGCAAUCAGACAUUUUCAGUUAACCUGGGUGUUCAAAGUGUUCUUGCCUCUGCCACGUGCUGCAACACGGAUAACUGCAACUCACAAAAUCUGACUGCUCCUACUCGUCAGUCAAGUAACGGCCUACUAUGUAACGUUUGUGUCGCCUCUCAGUGCAACACUACAUUACAGUGUCAGGGAGUGGAGGACCAAUGCUUUCAAUCAACGAUGACGAACGGCACCAACAGUUUCCCAGCUUACGGCUGUGCAUCUGCAAACCUGUGUGCAGCUGCUUCAAGCCUGGGUUCUCUACCUUUCAUGCAGAUGGCUGGUACCAUAACAAGUGGACCAAACUGUACUUCAUGCACAACCACUGCUGCACCAACCACAACAACAGCUGCUCCAACCACAACAAAAGCUGCUUCAACCACAACUACUGCUGCACCAACAACAACUACUCCAACUACGACCAUUGCUGCCCCAACCACUACAACAACUGCUAAAACCACUACAACAGCUGCUCUAACCACAACAACUGCUGCACCAACCACAACAAUAGUCGUAGAUACCAGAACAACUUCUGCACCAACAUCGACAACAGCUGGAGCACUUCAGUGCCAAAACUGCACAGAUGAGACGUGUUCAAGCACAGUAACAGUGAACUGUUCUUCAGAGACCAUGUGUGUUACAGCUACUAUUUUAGCUACCUCAUCUGGAACUACAGCAACACAAAUCUACAAGGCGUGUGCAUCUUCCUCUCUGUGUCCAGCUACGGGCAAUCAGACAUUUUCAGUUAACCUGGGUGUUCAAAGUGUUCUUGCCUCUGCCACGUGCUGCAACACGGAUAACUGCAACUCACAAAAUCUGCCUG